AAGCGUCGCCGAUAAAUUAAUGCUAGCCUUUGGAAUGAACAUCAUCGAUCACGGGGAGAGCUCGGCUGCCAGCGAUAACAAGAAGAAAUUUACCUUCCCCGAAUUUGAGAUCGGAGACUGUUUUGUGGGGAUGGAGGAUGAGCUGAAGCAGCUUCGUGAUCUCCUAAAACAAGACAACGAGGAGAGAGUUAUAUCAGUGUGGGGAAUGGGGGGAUCAGGCAAGACCACCAUUGCCAAAAAGCUCUACAACGAGACCAAGACCAGCUUUGAUCUUUCCGCAUGGGUUUGCAUUAGUCAGCAAUGCCAGAGUUUUCAAUCAGUUUGGAAUGAUGUUCUCAAGCAGCUAGAGCAUCAAAGCAGGAAGGGUGUAAGUGAUGAGCCACAACAAAUAAGGGAGGACGUUGUUCCAAAUCUGAGCGAAUCGGAGUUGAAUGAGCGACUAUGCAAGAUACAAAGAGACAAGCGUUGCCUCAUUGUUGUGGACGAUCUUUGGAAAGUUGCUGAUUGGAAUGGGUUGAAGCAUCCCUUCCUCGUUGAUAAUUUGCAAAGCAAAAUCUUAAUCACCACGCGCAAAGAGGAAGUUGCAAAGAUUGGAUGCCCCAGUAAAAAGUUGGGGCUUCUAAAAAGAGGAAGAUGCUUUGGAACUACUCAAGAACAAAGCCUUUCCACAUACCAAUAUUCCAGGUCAGUUGUGUGUAUGUAUAAUAGGGUGCUUUAGUUUCUAUAUCACAGUUACUUGAAUUUUACUCUAGUAUAAAUUAAUAUUUAAAGAUACCUGCUAUAGUUCUUCUUGCAUCAUCGAUCCAAAAAUGAGAUGUCUAAUUAAGUUAUAAAGUUGACUACAUUCAAUUAAAUGUCAUUUGUAUUUCAAUACAGAUUUGCAUUUGAGAAAAUUGGGAAAGAAAUGGUGCAGAAAUGUGGGUAUUUGCCAUUGGCAUUUCUUUCUCGGUGGGUCUUGAGAAUGAAAAAUUCAUGAGGAUGGGAGUUAGUAAAUAGGAUAUCAAAGAAGCCAUAUAUAGAGAUGAAAGUGAGAUUGAUGGAGUGCUAAAUUUAAGCUAUGAAAGUCUACCCUAUUAUUUGAAGCCUUGCUUUCUCUAUAUGGGUUUAUUUAGAGGACAAGAAUAAUGUGCAGAAUCUAUAAUGUGGAUGCACAAGCAGAUUUCAUAUGAGAAUUGAGCAAGGACAAAACUUUGAGAAAUAGCGGAGCUCUACUUGGGUGAGUUGGUCCAGGUCCAUGUCCAAGUGAAAUUAGUGGUGGUUUCAAUGAGAAAUAAAUGCAAACUUCAUGAUGUAGUAAGAGAACUAUGUUUGAAAUUGGGGGAAAGGGAGGAUUUCGGUGUCGAUUUGGAGUAUCAAAGUGGGAAACUUAAGUACCUUACUCGCAAGCUUCCUCCAUAUGAAAAUACGACAUUUGGCUAUCCAUUCAGAACAAGAGAGUCAAUGGAACCGCGAGCUUGGAGAAGAUAGUAGCAAACAUUUAAGGUCACUUCAAAUGUUCAAUCACAGUUAUUCUGAUGAGUAUCCUUGGCAACGUAUAGUUGAUUUUCAGAAAUUCAAAUUGUUGAGAGAUCUUGUUAUGGUGGGAUUUGAAUUUGCAGGAAGAAAGUUACCGAAAGAAAUCACUAAUCUUGUUCACCUUAGACGUUUGUAUUUAAAAAGAUGUGAAUUUGAUAAGAUACCGUUGUCCAUAAGGAAUUUGGUAUACAUGGAUACACUUGAUUUAUAUGCUUCGUGGAAUGUUGAAGUUCCAAAUGUUUUUAAGGAGUUGGUACAUUUAAAGCACUUGAUUCUUCCCUAUUAUGGGAAGGAAAAUAUUGGAAGUCAUAUAUUAACAUUGGACGAGGGAGUGGUUGAGUUGGAGAGUCUGAUGGCAUUGGAUAGUAGAGUGCAUGAAUUAAAAUGUCUGAACAAAAUGAAGAAUCUACGAAGAUUCUCAACAAGUAUACACGACAACAAAUGCUUGUCAGCCAUAAUCGACGCCAUUGCUAUCAUGGACAAGUUAUCCUUUUGUAGGGUUAGAAUAGAAGAGGGUUGUGAGUUAGGAAGAAAUGAGGGAGUGUUGAAAAAGGCAUUCACAUGUCCCAAUCUUCAUAAUUUGAUGAUUCAAGUUAAGUUGGGGAAGGCGCUGCCAGAGUGCUGCAAGCGUGACUUCAUGAGCUCUAAACUUACGAGUUUGUGGCUGUCAAAAUGUGAGAUUGAGGAUGAUCCAAUGGGGAUACUGGGGAACCUUCCUUGCUUGAUAUAUUUGUAUUUAAGGAGGAAAUCAUUUGUGGGGGAGGAGAUGACGUGUCCAUCAAACAGUUUUCCUCGCCUCAAGGUGCUUGUGCUAUCUCAAUUACCAAAGUUGAGGGAGUGGAGAGUGGAGGCAGGAGCCAUGCCCCUUCUCUCUGAAUUGGAGAUCUAUCAUUGUUCCAGUCUGAAGAUGCUUCCACAUGGUUUGAGUGGCAUUUCUACUCUUCGGAAACUGAAGAUUGCUGGAAUGGCGGAAAUGGGGAAGAGGGUAUCGGCAUCAGGAGAGGAUUUCCACAAAAUCAGCCAUGUCCCUUCAAUUAUCAUCCAAGACUAGUGUAGUCUCCACCCACCCAGAAAAGGUAUCUCAUUUCUCUCUCAUUUUCAAUAUUAGUUUUUAAUAUUACCUUUCACCGUAUUUGUAAUUACCAAGCUGGUUCAUAGAGUUAACUGUUUGUCAUUUAGCAUCAGAACUAUAUUAGUUUUUUUUUUUUUUAUGUUUAAUUUGUUUUUGGUUAGUUAGUAUUUGUUCGUUAAAAGCUUAUAAUUAACCUCUUCCAAAGUGUUUGGCAUAAUAAAAUCAUGAAUAACUUAUAACAUGUAAAAUAACCUCUAAGCUACCCCAAAAAAAAAUGUUCACCAACCCCAUCUUAUAUUUUCAUUAUCUUAUAAGUAACGAUUAAUUUACAAAAUAAUUCUACUAAGUUUUGUUACUUUUAAUAUAUAUCUUUCUCAUUUCAUUGCUUUCGUCUAUGAUUAUUAUCCUUCUAUGUAUCACAAUUCUUAAUUAUAAGCUUAAUUAUCCAAAUACUUUGACAAUUUAUAAGCUCUCAAGACAUAUCAUAAAUAUUAGACAUAUUAUAAAUAUUCUCAAACUCAUUAUUAUGUUUUUAUAUUCAUCAGUAGCUUUUUUAUUAUUGUCGAUUUCCAGGUUGAGCAUUGGUUUUCUGGAAGGUAUGUUCUUCGGUAAGGUUUUAAUGAAGCUCAGCUCAUUGUUAAGGUUGACAUCGUCCUUAUUUAUUUUUUAAUUUUACUUUUUAUUUUAUUUGUUUAUUUAUUUCAUUUUUUUUUGUCGUGUUGUCAGGUCAAAUUUCUUCCCCGUUCGAGUUGCAGUGUCGUUGCUACAUUUCUCAAGUCUUCCUCUUUGUACUCUUUUCUCUGCAAAAAAAUGUUUUUCUUAGUUAUGUAAUUGUGUGUGAGGAAAUGUUUAGAAUCCGGGUAAUUUAAAGUUGUGUUGGUUAAUAAGAGAUAUACUGUAUUCAAAGUGGUGUUAUGUUUGAAUUGAAUUGAUGGUUUGUAAUGCCUAGCUAAUCAAGUUGUUGCUAUUCUACGUUAUAUAUUCUGCUCUGAUGAAAUGUUUUGCUUUAAUUAUUUAUGUAAUCAUUUUAUUAUUGAGUGAAAUGAACUUACAACUUGCUUUUGCAAGAACAUUUUCACUCAUUUCCAAGAACACAAGCCUUCCUAAUAUUUACAUCCACACAUAUAUGUAUAAGGAUUAAUUAUGCUUUGUGUCCCAACUUUCAGUGUUUUUAAGAAAAAUGUCUUCAACUUUCGUUUUUUAUUAAACAUGUACAACUCCAUUUUUAACGUUUUCCAAAAAAUAUCCUGCUAUACAAGAUUAGGCAAUAGAAUGCGCUAGCAAUUAGGGAAUCAUCAAAAGCAGCCAUGUGAUGUGAGGGUAUGCAUCACUAGGAAGGCACUUAUAUCUGUGUCACAUGCUUUGCAUUGGCUGCAAAGAAGACCACUCCUCAUACGUGCAACAUCAGCCGCCACGGCUGCUUGAACGACAGCUAGGGCUAUCGCUAGAGAAACGAAGUAGCUUCGUUUACUUUGUUCUUCUCUGAAACGAGGCUUCGAUUCUCAUUAAUUAUUAAUCUUAAAUUCAUGACAUUAAUAAUCCCGAAGAUUUAUUUUUUGAAUUGCAAGCUGAUACAAAUGUGUUGUCAUCAUAAUAAAGUCGAUUGGUAAAGUUAUUGAAUUUGUUAAAACUUCGCAUUGUUUCUCUUAUUUUUAUAAUAUAUAGGAUAUUGUUAACUAUACCGGUCACUAUAUACCAUUUUAUGCAUUGAAAAUAAGGUAUGAAAACACUUGAUCUUCAAGUUGUUAUUGUUGAUGAUUUAAUUUUUCGAAAUGUUAGAUUCUUAUAAAACACUUGAUGAACAUGUUCACGAUCUAACGAGCCAAAUACUACUAAGCUCAAGUUUGGUUUGUUUAUUUAUCGAGCUUCUCUAAAUGAAUUUGAACGAACUUUUUUUGAGCCGAGCUCCGAAUAGUUCGCGAGCGGCUUGGUUAAUUUACAGCCCUAGCUAGAGCUGGAACGUGGGUUUCCUUAGCACUUUGGUUGGUGCGGCUGAUGUUCAAAAAGUGAUUAAUUCCCAUUCUCCCUAAUCCAUGUUCGGAUAAGCUUAUUUGGCACUUCUUGGAUAAUGGGAGGUAUUCGGUGAAAAUUGCCUAUAAGUUAGCAAGAGCUCUUACGCACGAUGAUUCCUAUAGUGUCGAGGGACAUUGGAGGUUAGGAACUUUCUUUGGCGAGCUGCGAGGAACCGACCAAGGAAAAUCUUCUCUCUCGUGGUAUUACUGUUGGGGGCAAGUGCCCGAUUUGUCGUUCGGGCUUUGAGAAUUUGUGGCACAUCUUCUUCUACUGCCCUUUUGCGGAAGAUUGUUGGCGUGUUGGUCAUUUAAAAAGGCAAAUAUCUGUAUGCUAUUAUGGCAAAUCUGGAAGGAGUGCAUGCAAUGCUGUUGUUUGGCGCGACACUACCCGCUCGGUGCUCAUGGCUGUUGAGUGCCGAAAAGAAUGGUAUCGUCAUGUUAAGCGAGAUCAUAAUGCUAUCGCUCAUUCUUUAGCGAAAGCGGCGAGGGAUAUAAGUACACAACAUGUUUGGGAUGAACCUCCGGCCUUUGUGGUGGGUCAUCUCCAUUUACCAUGCUCUUGUGAUCAAUAAUAUUAUCCUCUCGUUCUCUAAAAAAAAAAAGUGGAUAUUUGUUAUAAGAAUAAAAGUUCAAAUAAUUAAUGAUUAUAUUGAGGAAUUAAAAGACAAAAAAUCUUAAGAGUUGGGAAAUUUAGAAAAAUAUGCAUUGACUACUGGUGAAAGGUAGGUGUACCCAGGGGCGGACGCACCUAGAGUCAAGGGAAGGCAAUUGCCACCUCUUGAUUUUUGAUAUGAAAUAUCUAUAGUACCCCUCUCAAAUAUCUAUAACUUUCGCUAUCUAGCUUAGCAAAUCAGAGUGUUCACUGACAACCAAACAAUCAAAGCUUCGAAUUGUUGCAAUGGCAGAAGCAGUAUUGUCGAUUGCUCUAGAAACCUUGCGUGAUUUGUUGUUGGAAGAGGCAAAGUUUUUAUAUGGCGUGGGGAUGAAGUGAAGGAGCUCGAUGGCAGCUGAAAGAGAUGAAGUGUCUCAUCAAAGAUGCCGAUAGAAGACGGCAUGAAAGCGAAACCAUUUUGAAUUGGAUCUCAGAUAUCAAAGAUCUUGUGCACAGAGCCGAAGCUGCCAUUGAAAGACAUGCAGCUUAUCAAGUGUGUUCAAGGAGAAGACGAGGCCGAGGCCUCACACAGCUCAUCCGCAGAUAUUCUUGUAUUUUGGAAGAUUGCUACUCGCUCCACCAACUAGGCUCGGAGAUUUCACCGAUCAAAUCCCGUCUUGAAAGGAUAAACAAGGAAAUGUUAAAAAGUGGCAUAAAGAAGAGCAUCAUCAACAAUACAGAUGAAGGGGAGAGCUCGUCCGCCAACAACAGAGCAAGGAAGAGUUUCCCUGAAUUCGAGAUCGGAGACUGUUUCGUGGGGAUGAAGGAUGAGCUGAAGCAGCUUGGUAAUCUCCUAAGGCAAGACAACGAGGAUAGAGUUAUAUCAGUGUGGGGAAUGGGGGGAUCAGGCAAGACCACCAUUGCCAAAAAGCUCUACAACGAGACCAACACCAGCUUUGAUCUUUGCGCAU
rnacentral:lncRNA from 1 species